ACCAGAAAAGAGACCAUGUCAAAAGUAGAAAGACAAAUACCAAUUAAACAGCAUAAAGACUAGGAAAUUUCAUUAAAUAAAUACCACAAUUUGAGCACUUUUUUGAAUUAAAUAUCUAGGUUGUCUAAAAUUUUAUAUAAAUACCAACUUUCUGCCAUUUCUUUUGGAAUCACUAUCACUUAAUAGAUUUUUGCAAAAUCGUUAGUUUUGCUCCGUUAGUGCCAUGUGAAAUUACCUUCUUACCUUCCAUUAAUCUCCACCAUCACCAACACCACCAAAACUCACUACCCUUGCGAUCCCCUUAUUCUCUCCUAACCACCGUUACGAGGUGGUGGUUUCGUAGUUGGUUAGUAUUGUGGGGUCAGUCGAUUGUUUGGUGGGUGGAGGUGGUGGUUUUGUAGUUGUUGUGGUUGUGUGUGGGUCAAUUUUUGGGGAGUAAGGGCGGUGGUGGUGGCACCAGCAGCAAGCAUGGUUGUUGCAUGUGGUAUGGACGGUGGUUGGGGGGCAAAAUUGUAGUUUCACGUGCCACUAGCGGUGGAAAACUAAUGUUUUUUGCAACACUCCGUUAAGUGGUAG